ACACACACACACGUCGCUAUAUAAGUACAUUCUUGGACGCGACGUUAAACCUAAUUUCACCACGCCUCAUAGUUGAAACCACUUUAAUAGGUUCUUUUUAAAACUCAUCCAAGAUAUCGAACUGUUUCAAUAUCUUUCCAAAGUACACCGAAAUUCUAUCACCUCCUUACGUCGUCGGAUCUUACUUCCGAUCUUACAUGGGUCAUUGACCUUGCACCACGUGUUGUAAUACCUCCACCUGCAAACUCUGAGAGACAUGCUCAAACGCUGAAACCUGCUCAGAUCAUCUACAGGAGGAGACGGUUUGCGCAGCCAGUCAUGGCGUCGGCUGCUGUCGCCGCACCACCGACGACUACGUCCUCGAUGAAUAAUCACCGCCCGUCUUCCUGUAUGUGUGCAGGGGCAGUCGGGUAGCCUAGUGGUUAAAAAAGCGUUCGCUCGUCAUCCCGAAGACCCGGGUUCGAUUCCCGACAUGGGUACAAUGUGUGAAGCCCAUUUCUGGUGUCCCCCGCCGUGAUAUUGCUGGAAUAUUGCUAAAAGCGGCGUAAAACCAUACUCAGUCAGUCAGUAUGUGUGCAAAAGUGCUGUCAUGUGUUUGUCAUUACUUGUAUCAUUUCAUUCGCCUCUUACGACAAGCAUAGUCACUUUUUACGGCAAGCAUGGCACACACCUCUGAAAGGGUCCGACCAGGUGGACUGUCCCACUUGUGGUGAGUAAACUGUUGUCUUGUAGAAAUGUGAAUGCGAAUCAACAUCUAAAACCUCUGAUCGCAAGAGGUGAUUCACUGACGACGAUAUGGCUACAUGACAACGUUGUUUUACCAAAAUUAGGUCACAUUGUAUUGCGUGAGUACCAACGUCUUCCCGAGGCAAUGGAGUUAACCGACUUUUAAACUUCAAGGGGAAACUUGUCUGUGGAAGAUCUUGAAUAACAUGACGCUGUAACAGAGCACAGUUGUUCCCGUGCAGUGUGGCACAGCUUGGCAUCACACACGUGCAUAUACGUACAAACACACACAAACAUGUACACCUCUCACAGCACACACACGUACCCACCCCCGGCACAUACAUACAUGUGCACACACCCCACGCACACACACGUACACUGUAAUCUGUAGUCGUGUAUGUAAUCUGUAGUGUACUAUGUAAAUCUGUAGCCUUGUAUGUAAUCUGUUGUGUACUAUGUAAUCGGUAGCCGUGUGUGUAAUCUGUAGCCGUGUAUGUAAUCAGUAGUGUACUAUGUAAUUUGUAGCCGUGUGUGUAAUCUGUAGCCGUGUAUGUAAUCCGUAGCCAUGCAUGUAAUCCGUAGCCGUGCAUGUAAUCUGUAGCUGUGCAUGUAAUCUUAAGCCGUGUGUGUAAUCUGUAGCCGUGUAUGUAAUCUGUAGCUGUGCAUGUAAUCCGUAGCCAUGCAUGUAAUCCGUAGCCGUGCAUGUAAUCUGUAGCUGUGCAUGUAAUCUUAAGCCGUGUGUGUAAUCUUAAGCCGUGUAUGUAAUCUGUAGCUGUGCAUGUAAUCCGUAGCCGUGCAUGUAAUCUGUUGCCGUGCAUGUAAUCUGUAGCCGUGCAUGUAAUCGGUAGCCGUGUUUGUAAUCUGUUGCCGUGCAUGUAAUCUGUAGCCGUGCAUGUAAUCUGUAGCCGUGUAUGUAAUCUGUAGCCGUGUGUGUAAUCUGUAGCCGUGCAUGUAAUCCGUAGCCGUGUGUGUAAUCUGUAGCCGUGUAUGUAAUCUGUAGUGUACUAUGUAAAUCUGUAGCCGUUGAUUUAAUCGGUAGUGUACUAUGUAAUCUGUAGCCGUGUAUGUAAUCAGUAGUGCACUAUGUAAUCGGUAGCCGUGUAUGUAAUCUGUAGCCGUUCAUGUAAUCUGUAGCCAUGCGUGUAAUCCGUAGCCGUGCGUGUAAUCUGUAGCCGUGCAUGUAAUCUGUAGCCGUUGAUGUAAUCUGUAGCCGUGUGUGUAAUCUGUAGCCGUGUAUGUAAUCUGUAGCCGUGUAUGUAAUCUGUAGUCGUGUAUGUAAUCUGUAAUCGACUCUGUAAGUUGAAGUGUAUUCUGUAAGCUGUAUUUUUAACUCUUCCUGGUCCCAGUUUGAUCAAGGGAAAGAAUGUUGACGAACACCAACGUGUAGGUCACGGGUGGGGCGAGAAGAUGACGGCGUCAAGAAUGUAAAUAUUUCACAACAUACACAGUCACAGUCGUCAUUGAUAUUUAUCCUUGUAAUGUAGAAAGUGUAUUUUUUGUCAUUGUUAUUUAAUAAUAUACACGGUAACUGUACAGUAUGUAUUACACGUAAAACCCGAUCCAACACUUCCAGCCGAUUGUCUGUGGAAUGUCAAUACGUGUACAUAGAACGUCACCCCGUAACAAUGAUUCUAAAAUCGGCAAAUUUGCUAAUCAAGACGAUUUUAUUGAGAAAUCACAAUUAUGAGAGAAGAUUUGGGUGAUGUCUUAGGAUGUUUUGACGCCACAACUCGCGUCUUUCCAUAAUAAUAAUAAUAAUAAUAAUAAUAAUAAUACAUGUAAGUGCAUUUAUAACGCGCCAGAUUCCAUUCACCAAGUGGAUGCUCAUGGCGCUGCACUUUUAUUAUCCUGGUCAUUACUCGAUUUUCAUUCUCAGCUCCCUGGGGAGUAAACAACCGUAAUCUAUAGAAAGACGGCAAAAGUUUGAGUGAGCAACGUUAAUGUACAAACGUGUGUCUAAUUCUCUCCUUUCUGUCAUUUAAUGUUUCAAUUGUAAAAAAGCAUACAUGUAAAUCUAGUUUGUGAUAACUUGUGCCCAGUCAUGUUCUUGAGAAUAGUAUUAUGUUUUAACUUUAAACUAAGGGACUCGUCAUUUAUUUUAGGGGGUUGGCGUGGGGAUUGGGGUGAGGUUGGCCUCAGGAUCCCCCCCGUCUCUCUCUCACACACACACACACACACACACACACACACACACACACACACACACACACACACACACACACACACACACACACACACACACACACACACACACACACACACACACACACACACACACACACACACACACACACACACACACACACACACCUCAUUAAUGACAAGUCCCUUAGUCACACAUUGAUGAUUCGAGCGGCCCCGACUGUCAUUCCGAUUUCAACGAAAAUACAAGAGUAUUACAUAUAAAUAUACAUCUCUCCUCUUACCUACAUCGUGUUUGAAGAGAUGUUACUUCAAACCGCCUGACUAAACACGGACCAGGAAGUGGGAGGCUUGUUGAACUUGCAGGAGUAGACGACAGCGAGUUAAUGACGGUCGCCAUACAUAGACGGGGGAAUUCUUUUCACAAAAUCCAUCAUUGUCCCCGUGAAGAUUUUACUCUCAGUCAUCUUAUAUAUUCGUGUAAGAUAAUAUACCUGGUGACAUAUUUGAAAACAUAUUUGUUUCUAUCUGUUCAUAUCACGAUGAUCUCGGGCUUCAUAUGAGAUACAAAGUUGCCUAAAAGCCUUCAAAUAGGAGUUCAAUUUGCACAGAGGAAGUUUAGCCGCCCUUUGUAAAUAUUGGUAUAUCACUGUGCGUCGUGGGGUAUGUUUUCUGUUCAUUGUGUCCAAGUUUUCAUUCCCGCUAAAACAAAUUCAGGACCCAUGGGAUUCUUGGAAAAAUGUUAACACAAAGACAGGAGUCCCUUAUUUAAAACAUAUGAUGACGUAGAAAACCUUCCACGUUUCACAUGACUUGCACUUGACUGGGUAAAUCCCUCAACAACACAUUUAAAUAUUUUGUUUAACUUAUCCAAUAUUUAACGAGAAGGGCAUAUGCACAACUUAAAAACGUUGCCAAAACUCAUUCACUAUUCAAUAAUCAAAAUUUGUCAAAAACUAGUUUUCCCUGCUUUUGUUAAUAACUUAAUAUUAUAUUUCAAGAUCUAUCGAAAACAGGACAGAACACGUGACAUACGACGUGCGUUGUCACUAUAAGUAAACGUGAUGUCAAUCUGUCCUUGUAUUGUGUGAAUCCAAAAGAUGGGCUGAAGAUGAUCCAAAAAACGAUGUACAUAAAGAGCACCUCUCAACCGGAGUACGCCACUGAGCUUCAGCCGAGACUUGAGGAUGGAGGUACUGACGUGUGCACUUACCCUUGUUGCCUGUGUUCUGCUUGUGGAUGCAGCUCCUCCUACGGACACAGCGCCUCCUUUUCGCCCUACUUAUGAGAUACAAGCUACCAUCCUGCCAAGGAUUUUUGACUCCCUCUGUCGUAUCUGUGCCCAGUUCAACUUACCAUGCAGAGGAAUUCGAUGUUAUAAUUCAUGAUGCGGGCACGGCAACACACAGGAAACUCAACACCCGUGAACUAUGUGACAUGGCUACCACACAGAACAGAACAUAGUUAAGAAGAAUAUCCUGGUGUCUAGCCUAUUCCAUGUCAACAAUACCAUGUCAUCGGUUAUCACACAAAAUGUUUUGAUUAUCUUGUUAUAAUCAUUUGUACUGAAAAUAUUAUAUCCCCACUGAAAUCAGUUGUUAUACUUGAUGAGAAUCGUGUUAUCUGAAUAUAUUUGUGAAAACAAGCCCAAAUUAG